rnacentral:rRNA from 1 species
UACGGGGGGAGCAAGCGUUGUUCGGAUUUACUGGGCGUAAAGGGCGCGUAGGCGGUCGUGACAAGUCACUUGUGAAAUCUCCGGGCUUAACUCGGAACGGUCAAGUGAUACUGUCGGACUAGAGUACAGAAGGGGCAACUGGAAUUCUCGGUGUAGCGGUGAAAUGCGUAGAUAGUCGAGAGGAACACCUGCGGCGAAGGCGGGUUGCUGGGCUGAUACUGACGCUGAGGCGCGAAAGGCCAGGGGAGCAAACGGG